AAACACCAAAGUUCUGAUCACUGAAGUUAAGCAACAUUGUGCCUGGUCAGUACCAAGAUGGCUGACCACUUGUGAAUAUUAAGUGCUGUAAG